rnacentral:rRNA from 1 species
AUAAUACUCCAUAGAUUAGAGACACUGGAAUGUUCUUUAGUCGAAAGUUCUGGCGCCUUAGGAUGGAUCUGCGGUCGAUUAGGUUGUUGUUGGGGUAACGGCCCAACAAGCCUGUAAUCGAUACGGGUUGUGGGAGCAAGAGCCCGGAGAUGGAAUCUGAGACACGAUUCCAGGCCCUACGGGGCGCAGCAGGCGCGAAAACUUUACAAUGCAGGAAACUGUGAUAAGGGAACUCCGAGUGCCCGUAUACGCGGGCUGUCCAGGUGUUUAAAAAUCAUCUGAAGAAAGGGCCGGGCAAGACCGGUGCCAGCCGCCGCGGUAAUACCGGCGGCUCGAGUGGUGGCCACUAUUAUUGGGCUUAAAGCGUCCGUAGCUGGACCGAUAAGUCUCUUGGGAAAUCCGCCGGCUCAACCGGCGGGCGUCUAAGGGAUACUGUUAGUCUAGGGACCGGGAGAGGUGAGAGGUACUCCGGGGGUAGGAGUGAAAUCCUGUAACCCCCGGGGGACCACCGAUGGCGAAGGCAUCUCACCAGAACGGUUCCGACAGUGAGGGACGAAAGCUGGGGGAGCGAACCGGAUUAGAUACCCGGGUAGUCCCAGCCGUAAACUAUGCGCGUUAGGUGU